rnacentral:lncRNA from 1 species
AUGGGCAUGCACUCUCUGCUGGACAUUAUUGCUGGCUUCCUAUACACCAUUUUAAUCUUGGCUGUCUUCUAUCCGUUUGUGGACCUGAUUGAUAACUUCAACCAAACACACGAAUAUGCGCCAUUGAUCAUCAUUGGGUUCCAUUUAGCUCUGGGGAUCUUUUCUUUCACUCUGGACACCUGGAGCACAUCCCGAGGGGACACAGCUGAGAUUCUAGGAAGUGGUGCUGGAAUCGCGUGUGGAUCUCAUGUUACUCACAGUAUGGGUCUGCUGUUAGAGCCUUCUCCAGACGUUUUACCUUUGCCUACCCCUCCCAUUACUCUGACUGUCUUUGCAAAAGCCAUAUUGCGGGUCGUCAUAGGAAUGGGAGUUGUACUAAUAGUCAGAAAUGCAAUGAAAAAGAUCACCAUUCCUUUGGCCUGUAAAAUCUUUAAAAUACCAUGUGAUGAUAUUCGAAAAGCAAGACAGCACAUGGAAGUUGAACUUCCUUAUCGAUAUAUUACCUAUGGAAUGGUUGGUUUCUCUAUCACAUUUUUUGUUCCCUACAUAUUUUUGCUUAUUGGUAUCUCUUGAUAGGGAAAUACUCUUUAUAAUAAAGGAGAGUAUCAGUUACUGACAUCUAAAAAUAUACUGUAAGUAAAAGGUCAGAGUUAGGUUUUGGCAAGAAUUUAUAUUAAAUAAUUGGUUAAGUAAAUUCUUAAAGAGUCAGUGCAUUUUAUCAUUGCACAUCCAGAUACUGUUUUAGGUGGGCUGAUCUAUUUAACACUGAGAAAAAGCUAAAAGUUUUCAUUUAGAAUGUGCAUAUGUUUGGAGAGUUUUGUGCUUUUAUGGAUUCAAGAUAUGUAUAUAUAAUAUAUAUUAAGGUACAUAAUAUGCAAUCAUAUCUAAUAUAUGUUAUAUAUAAAAUAAUAUACCUACCUAAGUUUUUUAAACAGUAGGGUACGUAUUAUAAAAUCAAGAAUAAUAUGCAAACAAUUGCGCCUGUGUAUUUGUAAUUAAUACAGGUAUGUUAUUACUAAUGAAUAAUGUUUAACAUUUAUUUACUACGGGAGCCAUUUCCUAACUGAUUUGCAUAAUUACUAGACCAGAAUUCAUAUGCUACCACAUACUGAUUUACUGCCUCUUUUUACACUGCCACCAUCUUUCAUGUUACCCAUGAGGUUGAACAUGGGGAGCAUUUUUAAUGGACCAAACUUUAGGAAAAAUUUGUUUUUGGAUUCCUUGUUUUUUUUUAAAGUUCUGUACACUGUGUUGAAUGUACUUCUCUCGCAACUGUUUUGGGCAUCAGUUUAAUAAAUCAGGUACUGAAUUUUACUGCUUGCUAAUUGUGCCUUUCUGUUGCGACUUAAACACCAUGUAUACUGUGAUAUAAAAGUAAGACUCUAAGUUGCAUAUACCUAGGCAAAUAUUUUAAAAAUAUAUGUCAAACUAACAGGGAUUGAAGUAAACCACCAGUAUGUAACUCUUCAGUCUUUCUUUAGAAAGAAAUUGAACUGGGCUAAAAUUUCUCACUAAUUUAUUGGAAAGCUAAAUAGAUAAAAAUUUUUGUAGGUAUUUUUCUGUGUACUUUAAGUUUAGGAAUAAGAUGUAUUUUUGUACAUUGUCUUGAUUGUUUAUACUACAAGUAGAUGUUUCCAGUGCAUGGAAAGGUAGUUGGAGUUUAUAGAUGGGACAGUGUACAUGCCUCCUAUGUAAACAGACUGUUUCUCUAAAUUAUUUGGAAAGGAUUGGAUUUCCCACAAUUAACUUUUAAUACCUACUUACUAGCUAUAAAAGAUAAAUUAUUAAAAAAUCUAAAAGUAGUAUUAGUAGUUUAGAUCCUAUUUUUCUCUGAUUUUUAUUUUCACAGUGGAAAAUGAGUAUAGUGUGUAUAGUAUUAAACUGUUAUUUUUUCUAUGUGUGCCUUUAUAUUUGAAGUGUGACUGUAAUUAGUUUAAGAUUAAAUUUAUUUGCAGUAAAAUUUUCAUAAGAAGAAAAUUGCCAGGUGAGGUGGCACAGGCCUGUAAUCCCAGCACUCAGGAGGCUAAGGCUGGAGGAUCGCCCUGAGUUCAAGGCCAGCCUCCUCUACAUAGUGACUUCAAGAUCAGCCCGAAUUACUGAAUGAAAUAGUGAGACCCUGUCUCAAAAAAAGAAAAGUUUCCACCAUAAAUGAAUAUCAAGUAUGAGGUUACUGAUUUUUGUGCAAUAUCUACAUGCUUAUCCAGAAGUAGCAAUUAAAAUGUUUCUAUUUUGGACAGCAUAACUAUUUGAGCUCAUAUUUUUAUAAUCCUGAUUAAGAAUUUAUGGGCAUGGUAAUUUUUACCAAAACUGAAUCUGAUAAUUUUAAGUAAAGCAACUGAAUUUGGGCUGUUUACUUAUGAGUUGAAAAGACACCAGGGCACCUAGAAACUUGUUGGUACAUUGGAAAAUGUGAGAAGAGCUUUUUGUUCAAAAUGUGUAUGUAGUUAAUGAAUUGAAUUUUAAGAAUUGUUUCCCAAAAUUUGGGUCUGUGCUAGCCUAUUGAUUUUUGUCUAGGUUAAAAAAGUACUUGAAAAUAUUAUUUCUUGGUGUUUUGUUACUUCCUGUCCUAUGACAGACAGUUCUAUGCUAAAUGUAUUUUAAAAUAAAAGCCAAAUUCAAGAUUGAAGUGUUUUUGUUUUGUCUUUGUAUUUGUCUCUAAAUUAUCUAGUAGAAAGUUCUAAAAUCCAAGAUGCUUGUCCUAUCAGGCUUCCUCUGAACCAUUUUAUUCAAAUCAUUAGAGUACUGUUUUUAAUAAUAGAAGAUACUGAAUUUUUUUAAUUUUUAAAAAAUUUUUUGCGGUACUGUUGAAGAAAUUGUUUAAGAUUCAGCUUGAAGGCCUGGGGAUUUAGCUCAGUGGUGCAGCAUUUGCCUGGCAAACACAAGGUCCUGAAUUCAAUUCCUGGUAUCCCUGAGUUUUUGCUCCAGUUAUGAUCAUUUUUAUCCCUGAAUACACUGCCUUUAGUGAAAAGUUUUGUAAUAUUUCUUUCUUUUGGCGGGGGGUACUGGGGAUCGAACUCUGUACCUUGUGCUUAUGAGGCAGGCGGCAGAACCACUGAGCUAAAUCCCCAGCCCUGUAAUAUUUCUUAUAUAUAGAAAAAAGUUUUGAGUUUCAGACCAGCCUGAACUACAUAGUGAGAUCCUGUAUCAGAAAACCAAAACAAACAUUUUUUUAACUUUUUCUGCAAAUAUUUAAAGAUUAAUAGUUUCGAUUUUUGCAAAGUUUUGUAUGUAAUUAUUAUACCCUGUGGUAUAGAGUAGGAUUUGUAUCCAAGUUAGUUUUGAGAUUUUUUUUUUUCCCAAAACAGGAUGUUACUAGGUAGCCCAGACUGGCCUUAAACUUGUGAUCUUCCUGCCUCAACUCUCAAGUUUUGGUGGAUAGUAUUAUUUUUGCUCAUUUCUGAAUGAAAUUCAGUAACAGUUGAUAUAAAUUAAGAAACUGGAAGCUGGGUGCAGUGGUACAAGCCUGUAAUCCCCAAACUCUGGGAGGCUGCAGCAGGAGGGUUGUAAAUUCCAACCCAGCCUGGGCAACUAGGUGGGGCCAGGAGGAUCACUGUGAGUUCAAAGCCAACCUGGGCUAUGUAGUUAGACCCUGUCUCAACCCCCCACACACAAAACAAACAAUUGUUUCUUAGCAGUACAGUCCCCAAAAUGUUACUUAUUCAAUAUCAUGGGGUAAAAUUAUAAAGUUAACAUAUAACCUGAUUUAUAGUUAUUAACGGAUUAUAAACUGAAUCCUAACAUUUACAUGUGAAAAGUUUUCUGCCUUUUAUAAAAGUUAUUUUUCUUUUUCUACACUGAGCUAUAUCCUUAGCACUGCUCACUUAGCUCAUGGAUGAAAUCCACCCACUUGAAAGAG